UAUAGGGAUAACACGCAAGGAAUUGUGCCUUUCUUAGUUUACAGAAGGAAGGGCUGAUUUCCAUAUUCCAUAGGCCAAACCUUGCUCUGUUCUCAAGUCAAAUACUUGAAAUUGAGGUCCUCCGCUCCACAACUCCGCGCCCGGAGCAGGCGGAGCUGUAGUUAAAAAUCGCGGAGCCUUGGUCCGAGUCUCUGUUUCUCAGGCUGUGCUCCUCCUGUCUACUAUCAAGGCAGUGGUGACGCACCUUCACCAGAGAUGGGUUAGAUUGAUUCAUCUGCUGCUGCUUUUGUUUGUUGGUCUUGAUAGAGAACUUCAUCAUGGUUACUUCAUGGGUGAUCCUUGCGCUGCGCUUCACCGAUGUGGUUCUUCCAUCCUUAAUGGGAGACCAGAUGGA